rnacentral:rRNA from 1 species
GACAGAGGGUGCAAGCGUUGUUCGGAAUUAUUGGGCGUAAAGGGCGCGUAGGUGGCCGUAUAAGUCGGAUGUGAAAGCCCAGGGCUUAACCCUGGAAGUGCAUCCGAUACUGCAUGGCUUGAGUCCCGGAGAGGGUCGUGGAAUUCCCAGUGUAGAGGUGAAAUUCGUAGAUAUUGGGAGGAACACCAGUGGCGAAGGCGACGACCUGGACGAUGACUGACACUGAGGCGCGAAAGCGUGGGGAGCAAACAGG